AGCGAACGCUUGGUCGGAAUGCUUAACACAUGCAAGUCGUACGGGCAGCUUCGGCUGUCAGUGGCGGACGGGUGAGUAACGCGUAGGAACGUGUCCUGGGAUGGGGGAUAACGCUGGGAAACUGGCGCUAAUACCGCAUAUCUGCUGAGGCAGAAAGCCUUCGGGCGUCUUGGGAGCGGACCUGCGUCCGAUUAGCUAGUUGGUGGGGUAAAGGCCUACCAAGGCUUCGAUCGGUAGCUGGUCUGAGAGGAUGAUCAGCCACACUGGGACUGAGACACGGCCCAGACUCCUACGGGAGGCAGCAGUGGGGAAUAUGGACAAUGGGCGAAAGCCUGAUCCAGCAAUUCCGCGUGGUGAAGAA
rnacentral:rRNA from 1 species